CCCUUAGAUGUUCUGGGCUGCACGCGCGCUACACUGAAGCGUUCAACGAGUAUUCACCUUGCCCGGGAGGGUUGGGUAAUCUUUUGAAAACGCUUCGUGAUGGGGAUAGAUUAUUGCAAUUAUUAAUCUUCAACGAGGAAUUCCUAGUAAGCGCGAGUCAUCAGCUCGUGCUGAUUACGUCCCUGCCCUUUGUACACACCGCCCGCCGCACCUACCGAUUGAAUGGUCCGGUGAAAUCUUCGGACCGGGCGGUAGUCAGCAAUGACCGUUGCCUGGAAAGUUGCUUAAACCUUACCAUUUAGAGGAAGGUGAAGUCGUAACA
rnacentral:rRNA from 1 species